AUAUGCCUACAUCAUAGAGUUAAUGCACUGGAUCCCAUUAGAACUCCCUAGUUAAGUGCGCUCAAGCUAGAGUAGUACUAGGAUGGGUGACUGUUUGGGAAGUCCUAGAGUUUUACAUGCC
rnacentral:rRNA from 1 species